rnacentral:rRNA from 1 species
UGGGGAAUCUUGCGCAAUGGGCGAAAGCCUGACGCAGCAACGCCGCGUGGGGGAUGAAGGCUCUCGGGUUGUAAACCCCUUUCAGCAGGAACGAAAAUGACGGUACCUGCAGAAGAAGGCCCGGCCAACUACGUGCCAGCAGCCGCGGUAAUACGUAGGGGCCAAGCGUUGUCCGGAUUUAUUGGGCGUAAAGAGCUCGUAGGCGGUUUGGAUAGUCGGGUGUGAAAACUCCGAGCUUAACUCGGAGACGCCACCCGAUACUGCCAUGACUAGAGUCCGGUAGGGGAGCAGGGAAUUCCUGGUGUAGCGGUGAAAUGCGCAGAUAUCAGGAGGAACACCGGUGGCGAAGGCGCUGCUCUGGGCCGGUACUGACGCUGAGGAGCGAAAGCGUGGGUAGCAAACAG